AGUAACGCGUGGAUAACCUGCCUCACACUGGGGAUAACAGUUAGAAAUGACUGCUAAUACCGCAUAAGCGCACAGUACCGCAUGGUACAGUGUGAAAAACUCCGGUGGUGUGAGAUGGAUCCGCGUCUGAUUAGCCAGUUGGCGGGGUAACGGCCCACCAAGCCGACGAUCAGUAGCCGACCUGAGAGGGUGACCGGCCACAUUGGGACUGAGACACGGCCCAA
rnacentral:rRNA from 1 species